GACCCCUUGGCUCAGUGGUAGAGCGUCGCAUUCCAGUUUCUUCUCAGUAUCGCGAAGGCCGUCCGUUCGAUCCGGGCAGGGGUCA